GGGGGUGAUGGAAUGUUAUUUGGCGUGAGGUUUUUACCCUGCAUGAUUGUUUGGCCUUUUAUGGCUCAGUGGUGUGUGUGUGUGUGUGUGUGUGUGUGUGUGUGUGUGUGUGUGUGUGUGUGUGUGUGUGUGUGUGUGUGUGUGUGUGUGUGUUGAAAGAUUUUUGAGCAUCGGUAGGGUUCUACUGUGUGUGUGUGUGUGUCCCACUCACACCUGGCAUGGGGUUCUACGUGCCUGUCCUGGGUUCUAUGUGUGUGUGUCCGGCUUGCUUUGACAGUGAUAAUGUUCAUACGGGGGUCUGUGUGAUUGGCUUGGGAUAUUGGAAUGGUCAUCUAAAUCAUACGGCCACACGUUUACUUAAGGGCCUCCACUAGACAUGAAGAGCCCUGAGCAAUGCUCCGGAGCGAUAUCCAACACACUGGGAAGGAAGGAGAGUAUCCAACUCGAGUGUAAAAGGAUGCAAGCGGCGUGUUCAGAUCAGUGACUUCAAACUAGGACUACAACAAUCAGGAUCAAUGGAGGAUGGACACCAAAAGGAAUUCCACAAGGAGUCUGACGUUGGAAAGGGACCUAAAUUGAUAUUCAAGAUGACCUUCAGACCUGUAAUGAGACGGCUCUUACUACCUGGCUGGAUUGAUGGAGAGCCCUGUGGAUCUUGUCUUGCUCUCAGUUGCACGUCUUCUCAGGCUGAACUGUAUUUGUUUCGGACAGGACUAGCUGGAUGAUUGGUUCCCUUAAAUCAGAACCAAUCCGGGAACUCCAGCUAGUGCGCUCUUCGAGCUGAAGUUGUGCUCUUCAACUGAGGAGGCAAGGAAACCUUCACUGGAGCUUCAAGGUGUAAAGUGGAGAAUGUUUCAAAGUGUUCCAUGGUACUCUGAUGAAGACUGUUGUUGUGUUCCACUGGCUGAGAGGAAGAACCCUCACAUCUUCCUCUUGGCCUUUCUCCUCUGAGAAUCCUGGCGCCAUCUUGAAGGCUAUUCCAGCUCAUGUAACUGAUGUCACGAAAGAUUCUCAAACACUUGGUUUCUCCUGAGGGGCGUGUCUAUAGAACUGAAGACUUCAGACAGCACUGUAUCCCAGCAUGCAUCUCUGCUCACACAGACCACACCCCCAUGAGUAGGAUGCAACACUCUAGUGAUAGCGAUGUAGAGUUUUAUAAGUAACGAGGGAGCAGACUAAGGUGAUUAGAACACAAUGGAAUGUCAAGUCUGUAAAUCUUUAAACCAUGAAGAUGGUUGGAUAGGUCAGGACUCGGGCUUCUUUUUAUUAUGGGCAGUCCUUUCACUCAGAUGCCCACUUCUCACUGGACCUGUACAUGUGUUGGCUGGCUGGCAUUAUUUGCUGUUGGUGAUGAGGCGGUCAGGAUGACGUUGCAGGGCUAUGGUCGGCUCUCUGUGAGCUCAACGUUUAGAUUUGCUCUGUAUGGUUUGUACCCUGAAUAAUCUAGAUAAUUGUAAAAUAUAGACGCGGUUUUAUAUUAAAUGAUUCCAGGAUUUUAGGUUUAAGGUUGUUGUGGGACGUACAUGGUAGUUUGGUUCUUCGUAUGGUUUUGAGUGAUAUAACUUGUACACACUGGGUGCAUAAUAAUGUAAAGGUACACUGAAUAGUAGUAAUUACCAACAGCAACAAACUGAUCUCCUCAAGGUAAGUCUGUUGGCUGUGUUUUAAUGAAGACCAUCGCUGGACUUCAGGAUCUUCCUCCGUUCAGCUCAAGGUGAGGCACUGGUUCUGUUUUUUCUUUGGUUGGUUCCGGCCGGAAUGUUCGGAUUCCAGUCGGACGGUUUGUGCUUCCCGCAGUGGAAGGUUCUGAGUGCGGUCACUUGAUUUAGUCCCAAUGGUUAGCACAGAUUGUAGUCUUGACAACCAUAAGAAACCACCUGGCAGUUAGUUGGACGGGAGUCCCCGGAGGGAAUCUGGAGGAACCUUCUGGAUUGUAUUUGCGUAACCUCGAGCCGUUGCAUAAGGAAACUAUUUUUCAGUCGGUUUCCAUUGGGAAUUGUUGCCCCCUAUCCUAAACAACUUAAGUUUGGUAUUAAAUACAUACUGAGACAUACGUCGUACAAUAUGUUGAUAAUUUCCGAUGGUUGCGCCGUACGUUUAACCACAAUGACGUGACGGGACUCUCACUGCGUACAAAACAGCGUUCUACUUGCGGGCCCAUUUUUGACAUCGGGGAAGGCUGAAAAUCAUUUCAAGGUGGAAGAUAAUUGGACAUUUCUUCAACGGAACCCAGCACCUGAAUAUGGGUGAGUGAGUGUAUUGAUUUAAUAUGAGUAUAUUUGAUUUAAUAUCGAUACUGCUUAGUGUUCUUUGUUACUUCAGCUUUUGUACGUUCUAAAUAUCUGCUGUCAUUAAUUGCCACAGAAGUUAAACCCUACCCAAUGGAAUGACGUUAAACAACGACUUUGUUGCAGAGUUACGAACUGGAUAAUAUCAAAGCUAAAAUAAUGGCCGUCAUUCCCACAUGUUACAGUAGAAAAUACUCUGGAACUGUACAAGGUUAAAAAGGUAACGUGUAGUUUGUCCCAAGGUGUCUGCCUCCUCACCCCGAGUAAGACCUCCACCUCCUCACCAAGAGCCAGACCUCCACCUCCUGUCAGAAGUCCUCCAGAACAGCUGAAAGGCGAGGCUGAGAGGCUGGGGACCGGAGGCUUGUGGUGCCAGGGUGGACCGGAGACUGAGGCUGGAGACCAGGGGCCUGCAGCACCGGACCAGAGGACCAGGAAUCCAUGGCUGAAGGAGCUGAUGGAGGAGCCGUGAUGCAGGAGCCGAUGGAGGAGCCGUGCUGAUGGAGGAGCCGUGCUGAUGGAGGAGCCGUGCUGAUGGAGGAGUCAUGCUGAAGGCCCUGCAUUGUGGUGGAGCUGGUGGAGGACCUGCCUGGUGAAGGACCUGCCUGGUGAAGGACGUCUGUCGUGGGACCAGGACUCUGUCUGAGGAGAGCUGCUGGAGGAGCUGAGACGCUGGAGGACGACUAGGAAUCGACCAACAAGGAUUCCUCAACGUGUUGCUGGUAGGGGAGCCGUGAAUCUGGGGGAUGACCAUCACUCUACCAACAAGGAUUACUUUAGGGCCAGACUCGCACUGUUUGUUCCAGACCAGGACUCUGGCUGAGGAGAGCUGAUGGAGGAGCCAAGACUCUGGAGGACGACAUCACUCCACCAACCAGGAUCCUCAACAGGAAUCUGGAGGACUGAUGGAGAAGCCGUACAUCUGGAAGGCAAAUCCUGAGGACCACCAGGACUCUACCAUCAAGGAUACAUUCAAGUUUGCAUUAUCUGGACAUAGUGGACCAGACGCACCUGAGCUGAACCUCACCUGAUCCUGUUUGGUCGGGGGUAGACACACCUGAGCUAAACCCGCCCUGAUCCUGACAUCCUGCUGGUCCCGUCUCCUCAGUUCAUCUGAGCCUCGUCCUCCAGAAGACCUGCUGAGCUCAGCAGUCUGAGGCUGAACGAUCAAUGACCUCCAGUGGGAGUGAUCUUCUUGACCCCACAUGUAACCGUGUGCUUCCACACGCCUCUCCCUCACGUCUGUCACUAACCUCACUACUUCACUACUCUCUACUGCUUCCUCUUUUCUUCCUUCUCUGUGGUUCAAACCUUUACACUGAAGGCGCGUCUUCCUGCCCUCAGAGGGUUUAGCGUUAGGGUUGAGAGUCAGGGUUUAGAGUCAGGGACAGAGCUGGUCAGGGAGGACUGCUUUUACACAAACCUCUUCACUUGCUUUCGGAAUGGUGGUGACAUUUUGAAAAGAGUCAUUUGGGAAAAUGUUUUCCUCUGCUUUCCUUUACAAAAUUGUAUUAAAGUUCUGUCAAGUGUUUUUGUUUACAUAUUAAAAUCCCACAUUGACUUCUAU